rnacentral:sRNA from 1 species
GUGACCUCGCUGUGGCCCCGGCAGCGGCUGCGGGGAAAGUCGCGAGGAGCAUCCGCUUCGGCUGCAGCCAUUUACUGAGGACCCACUGGAUGUCAAGUACUGUGCAUAGUUUUCUUCGAUUGUUGCAACAUCCCUUGCAAGUUUCUGGACCAGCAAAGCUGAAGAAACCCAAACUUGGACUGAAGUGACUCUACUAAGGUCAGACAGCUGGAGUCGGGACCACAGCACAGGCAGGUACCAGAAGAUGAGCUGGGACAAUGUGUGCUUGUGACCGCCUCUGCAGUCAGUGGUUCCCAUGAUCCCUGGCCAUCAACCUGACCAACUGCAAGUAUGAGAGUGUGCGUCGGGCAGCCCAAAUGUGUGGCCUGAAGGAGGUGGGGGAGGAUGAAGAGUGGACUCUGUACUGGACAGACUGCGCUGUCUCGCUGGAACGAGUCAUGGACAUGAAAAGGUUUCAGGAAAGAAAAAACUGAGUCAUCCCAUGUGGCAAUGCUGGACCAGGAACAAUACGAGGAUUCUCACCUGGGAAAAUACCGGCGGAUCUACCCUGGGCCUGACACGGAGAAGUAUGCCCGCUUCUUCAAGCACAAUGGCUCCCUCUUCCAGGAGACUGCUGCUUCCAAGGCCAGAGAGGAGUGUGCCAGCUGCUGCCGGGACAGCUGGACACCAUGAGGCCUCAAGAAAUUGUGGAAGAGGAGGAGCUGGAGCGGAUGAAGGCCCUGCUACAAAGGGAGACUCUCAUCCGAAGCCUGGGUAUUGUAGAGCAGCUCACCCGUCUGCAGCACCCUGGCCCCCAGGGCCAGAAAAAACUUCAUGAGAGUCGGGUGAGGGUCCCUGUGAAGUCUCCCAGAGGAAAAGGGAACAAGGGCUGUCAUCCCAGGACAUGGUGUUGAUCUCAACAAAGGAGGCUUGUGUGACGGUAUCUGUCAGUGGAGCCUGGGAAAGCAGAGUGUGCUAGCUGGACCUUGGGAGAGGGUCUGUUGAUUCCUUUUGCGUCUGUUCCCAAGCUCCUUUGUUUUAGAUAUGACAUCCAGCAAAGUGCAGCUCCAAACCUUCUCAUUUACAAGAAACUUGCUCUCUAUAUUCCUGUCCCAAAAUAACCCCAUACUCACGACUGACAAAUAACAAGCCCACCACCCUCAGUGGCUUCUGUAUAAUUUUCUCCCUAGCACUGCCAGUGCCCUGGCUCUAAUGGGAGAUAAGUAAACAGAUUUGGGCCAACAAAA